UACGUAGGGUGCAAGCGUCGUCCGGAAUUAUUGGGCGUAAAGAGCUCGUAGGCGGUUUGUCGCGUCGACUGUGAAAACCCGAGGCUUAACCUCGGGCCUGCAGUCGAUACGGGCAGACUAGAGUUCGGUAGGGGAGACUGGAAUUCCUGGUGUAGCGGUGAAAUGCGCAGAUAUCAGGAGGAACACCGGUGGCGAAGGCGGGUCUCUGGGCCGAUACUGACGCUGAGGAGCGAAAGCGUGGGGAGCGAACAGG
rnacentral:rRNA from 1 species